rnacentral:sRNA from 1 species
UCCACGUUCGCGUCCAGCUUCAGGCCCUG